UUUAACAUUAAAAUUUAUAUUAAAAUACAAAAAAAAAAUUCUGUAAAUAAUUAUUUUUUAUUUUUUUGAUUUUAAAAGAUUUAUAUUUUGUCUGCUUAAAAUUUCAGAUUUGUUUUAAGACAGUUACGGCAUUAACCAACUAGGUGAAAUGACAAAACUACCGUUAUUCAUUCUGGAGAGAAAAAAUAAUUUUUAAUAUAUUUUCAGCAUUUUUAAUCACGUAUUCUGUAUAUCUAGUUAUGAAUUAUAAGAAAUAGAUGGAAAAGUGACGGAACGCUGACGGUAGGAACCAAGUGUAUAAACUUGAAAUUUUGAGAACCAAAAAUGAAAAUUUUUGAAAAUUAGUAGAAGAAGGUGAAAAGACGAAUAUUUAUAGAAAAAUAUUCUGUAUUACUCUAAAAUUUAACUAGUGCUUUACGGCCGCAUUAUAGACAAUUAUUGAUUUUUUUUAUUUUACUUGAUGUUACUGUAAUAAGUUUUUCCCCAUAUCUUGUUAUCUUUUUAGGAAAAACUUCAAAAAACCUCCUGUGGUUUCGCACUUUCUCACUUUAGUAUCCUGUGGUUUAAAGUAUAUCAAUUUGCCCUUCUGUGGUUUUAUUUUUAUCUUUUCGGCGGCUUUUUUCUUAAUAUUUUGUUAAAUUAUAUACAAAAAACUUCAGAUACUCAUCUAGAUUUAUCGAAUAUUUAUUUUAGUAUCCUUUAAUUUUAACUUUGUAACUUAUUUAAGAAAAAAUAAUAAUAAAAUUGAUAAUAAAAAGAAAAAAACGAAACCAUAGGGAGACAAAUUGAUACACUUUAACGGUACUAAAAUAAAAAAGUGCGAAACCACCUGGUGAUUUCUGAAGUUAUCCCUUUUUUUUUUUAUAUAUAUAGUCCCUUUACUGUUCUAGAUCACAUUAGUUGAAUUGGGCUCGGGUUUUAAAAGUUACUCGUAAAAAAACUACGUGGAAAUAAUUGCAUAAGGGAAUUAAUUAUUGGCUCCACCUUUUGUAUUUACAUGGUCUAUGCAUAGAAAUUAAAAAAAAAAAAAAAAAUUGACAUUGGUUCCUUAUAAUUAAUUCCCUGUAACACAAUAUAUUUUUACCUUGCCACCUUGUCGUUCAAAAAAUUGCACUCUUUUCUCCUAUAUUAAAUAGCAAAUAUAUUACUACAAAGUUUAACUUUUUAUUUUUAUCUCGGCAAAAGUCCAGUAAUAUUCAUAUUUGCCCCUCUAGUUUGUUACCGUUAGAGUAUUGUUUAUUUAUUUUAACAGAAGAUAAGAAAAAUAACAUUUUUACCCUUACGAAUAUAUCCCUCCAAAAAUUUCCAGAAAUGCCCUCCCAAAAAAUAUUUUAUCCAAUAAUAUAAGAAAAGUAAAAAUAUCAAUUUAACUCAUCCACUAAUCAUGGUUAAAUAUUUUACUCAUGGUUAACGAUAUUUUUUUUAACGGAUCCUAACAGUGGGGAUAUAUUUAAAAACGGUUGGACUUUUUUGCAGGAAUGAAAAUAAAAAAGUUAAACUUUAUAGGAAUAUAUUUGUUAUUCGAUAUGUUUACAGGGAGCUGUAUGCAAUUAGUCCAAAUUUUUAUGUCCAAUGAGGUGGCAAAGUAAAAAAAUUUUGAAAAUAAUUAUAGGACGACAAAAUGAAAAAUGAGCUAAAUCAUAGAGUAGUUAAGUGUAACUUUUUGAACCAUAGGAUGGAAAAAUAAAAAUAAGUUAGGCAAUUUAAAGUUUAUCCUUUUCAAAAUUCAUAAUGUUUCAAAUGUAGGAUCAUACAUAUAAAGGUGCGGUGCAUAGAGUGUACGUGUACACUGGGUACAGGCAAUUGUUUCUCAUAGCACAAAAUGCGCGGUGAUUUGGUUACACAUAAAGCUACUACAAAUAAUUUUAUUGAAACAUUAAAUUAUAGAAAAAAAAAAAUUAGCACUCAAUGGUUUUAAUCAUCUUAUGGACAAAUAAAACUGAAUCAACCUACAGCUAAGGAGCUGUUCAAUGCAGCGUACUCAGUAUCGACAGAAUAAUUAUUGCUUCAUAUUAUCUAACAUAAUAUCAGAAUGAGAGAUUUCAAAUUUGAAUCCCACUGGACCCUUGCCUCAUAAUUUCCACUUAUUUAACUCAACGUAUGUACUUCAAGGCAGAAGCAUUAGAGCAUAUAAAAAAAGAUUCAAGCCCAACCAUACGAAGGAAUGCUGAACAUAAUUAUUAAAAAAAAUAUCAUUAUGUAACAAUUUAAGCUUUUAAUAGAGAUAGCUGGUUGUUUCGCAAUUUUUAACAAGGUAUAUAAUACGUAGCAAAGAUAUAUAAAAUGGGGGCAGUAGUUUCUCGAAUGUUUCUGAGAAAAAGAGAGGAAAUGAAAUUGAAGUUUCAUAGAGAAGACUUAUACAAGUCAAAGUGCAAGAAAUUUGUCCCCCUUCCGUAACUACCAACCAAACUCAAUUAUUGCAUAUAACUACAUCAUAUACACGGCAUUUCUAAAAGUCCUUGGUAGAGAUUUUAACAUUAAAAUUUAUAUUAAAAUACAAAAAAAAAAUUCUGUAAAUAAUUAUUUUUUAUUUUUUUGAUUUUAAAAGAUUUAUAUUUUGUCUGCUUAAAAUUUCAGAUUUGUUUUAAGACAGUUACGGCAUUAACCAACUAGGUGAAAUGACAAAACUACCGUUAUUCAUUCUGGAGAGAAAAAAUAAUUUUUAAUAUAUUUUCAGCAUUUUUAAUCACGUAUUCUGUAUAUCUAGUUAUGAAUUAUAAGAAAUAGAUGGAAAAGUGACGGAACGCUGACGGUAGGAACCAAGUGUAUAAACUUGAAAUUUUGAGAACCAAAAAUGAAAAUUUUUGAAAAUUAGUAGAAGAAGGUGAAAAGACGAAUAUUUAUAGAAAAAUAUUCUGUAUUACUCUAAAAUUUAACUAGUGCUUUACGGCCGCAUUAUAGACAAUUAUUGAUUUUUUUUAUUUUACUUGAUGUUAGUGUAAUAAGUUUUUUCCCAAAUCUUGUUUUUUUUUUUUAGGAAAAACUUCAAAAAACCCCCUGUGGUUUCGCACUUUCUCACUUUAGUAUCCUGUGGUUUAAAGUGUAUCAAUUUGCCCUCCUGUAGUUUUAUUUUUAUCUUUUCGGCAGCUUUUUUCUUAAUAUUUCGUUAAAUUAUAUACAAAAAACUUCAGAUACUCAUCUAGAUUUAUCGAAUAUUUAUUUUAGUAUCCUUUAAUUUUAACUUUGUAACUGAUUUAAGAAAAAAUAAUAAUAAAAUUGAUAAUACAAAGAGAAAAACGAAACCAUAGGGAGGCAAAUUUAUAGACUUUAACGGUACUAAAGUAAAAAAGUGCGAAACCAUAGGGUGAUUU
rnacentral:lncRNA from 1 species